GCAAGCUAUCGAUGUAAUCCAAGUAUCCCUGAAGAUUCUUGGUUUGUGGUACUUUGUAUCCACGAUAAAAUUCGAAGCCAGGUCGCAAUAGUACAUCGCAAAACCAAACUUUUAUGAUGUUUGUUAUUAUUUUGAAGUGUGAUCAUUUUGAAGAUUUUCUUGAUUGGGAACAACCACGUGCAACUCGAUGAUAUACUGAUACAUAUAGCAAAUAGUUGGCCACGAUACUCCCCGUUUUGGAUCCAUCUCAUCCAAAUGAUUCUGUAUAAACUGAACGGAAGCAGCAAAAUCAGCCUGAUUAAAUUCGUAUGGUACGUUCCAACCAAGAGGUCCGAAUUUCCUACGUUCUU